GUGUUACAGGUUCCCAUUGGCUGCUGAGCACUAGGGUUAAACCAUUUCUGUAAGCCUGGGGGUUUCCUACCACUCACAGACUUGUUUUUUUAACAUCCUCUUAUUUCUUUGUCCUUUUCUUCCUUUUUUGUGCAGCCUAUAAAUAUACAAUAUUUGCACUGCAGUUUUAUGACUUCAAUUAUUUUCAUCAAGAUAGAAAUUGCGUCCUUUUGCUCCACUACUGCCUUUGUUUUGGUAAACAAACACGUUCUAGCUUUAACACCAUUCAUCAAACUUUAAUUUCCUAACAUCAAAAUAUUAACAAUUGUGUGGAGAAAAAGGCUACAGCAGUGGUAUUCUCUCAAUGCUGGUUUAGGAUACAGACACUUGUAAUGAAUAUCUAUCUUUGGAAAACGACAUGAGCUUGUUAUUUGAGCUUUUUAAUUUAAUUUAAUUUCGGGUUAUGGCCAGCAGGGGGCACAUUAUCACUAAUAAUGGCGCUGGUUAAACCCUAAACAGAGAUUAUACACUUAUCAGAUAUACAGUAAUUAGGUACACAGGUGAUUUGAUGGGAUUUACAGACUUCCAAGGACUUUCAGCAAAUUAGUGAAAACACUUUAUACCUUUUAAGUAAACACAAAGAUACAAAGAUACAAAUACAAUGUAGUUCCAACAGAAUCGCUCCUGACCGCUAGGGGGCACUGCACCGCGUUUCCACAGGCAGUGUGGAUUGUUCUUCUUCCACACAUUAAAAGAGACUGUCAGUGUAAGUAAAAUCAAGUAAGAGCAAAAUGUUUUUAAUUUUAGUGUUGCUAAUCACUUGAACACGAGUACAUUUGUCCCGUGAAUAUUACCAUAAAGUUAGUUAAGUAUACUGUCAGUUUUCGUUCUUCAUAAUUGGACUCAUUGGAGUCACUGGCUGUGUCCGAAUAACCUUCCAUACUUCCAUACUACGCAGUAUGUCAGAAUUCCGAAUAUUCAUAAACAGUAGGCGGGAAGUACCCGGAUGACCUACUGCUUCUACUGAGAUUCUGCAGUAUGGAAGUGCUAUCCCAUAAGGCACCGCGACAGGCGCGGAAAAGCUGUCACAAUCAAAAAUGGCGGAAGGCAGCCCAUCGGCUCUUUUGAAAUAUAAGUGCUAUAGGUAUUAAACCUUGUUCCUUGUUCCUUGUGGUUGAACCGUACUUGUUUAACAAUACAUCACUAAACUGUUAACUUGUUGAAGGUUUAUACAAGAAAAAAAAAAAACAGUUGCUCUAAUCUGACGGGCUCUGUAAGGUUAGGUUACCAUGACGUCGUAGGUCACAUGACAAUGCCAAUAUGGCGGAUUGUAUUUAUACUACAUACACAUAUCCUGAUCAUUCAAUAAGUUUAGAUUUGAUUGAACAUUGUGUUUGAAGCAGGAAAAACAGGGAGAAGUACAUUGGAUUCCUUCAUGAAAUUCAGGGCUUUGAAGGAGAAGGAGAGGAAAACAUUAACCUCAAACCAUUUGCUGUUUUGCAGAAAGUGGUCUUAUCAUUUGACACUGAUGAAAGUGUAAUUGAUCAUAAUAAGUAGUUGUUUUUUUUUUUGUAAAUGUAGUCAUAAUCCUUAAAUUAAAGGCUUGUUUGUAUCAUUAGUACCUCUAGCUUCCAUGAGUUUCUUCUGGAAUUCAGUGCAGUUGCUCUGUUUGGCCUAGACAUCUACUGAAUUGAGAGAGAAAAGAAAUCAACCAGUUUCAAAAACAUGAUUAUCAUUAAACUAUCGGUUUUAUUUUCAUUAACAAAAUAGUUUUUAUAAAUAUUCACGUAUAACAUCUAACGACAGCGUCUUUUCUCCUCCAUUUUAUGGGGUUGCACAAAAUGUUGUAAAAGUUACAUUCACAUUUCCAUACAGAGUCACACACCCCAAGUUAACUAAGUAUACUUUAAUUUUCAGUUUGUGACAAUUUACAUUUAUUUACUCUUUUCACGUGUAGAUUUAUGUUGGAAUUAUGUGGAGAAAUAAUUGUGUUAAAGGCUGUGAGAGUGAAGACCAUGCCUCUUGAUGUUCAGUCUAUUCGGUCAUCUGAGCAACUAUUAAUAGCUGCUGUAAAGAAAGUAAAAGAUUUUAAUCAACACGUGGAAGAUGGCCGCUUUGUUUUGCUGUACCCAGAUGGUGCAGAGGUGAAACGCAUUUCAGGAACAAACACCCCUUUCAGAAUAAAGCUGUACAAAGAGGCAACUGGGAAGGCUUAUCAAAGAAUAACACUGUUCAUAUGCACAGUUCAAGACUUUUCAGCCAGUGGUGAGCAAAUUUCAUUUUAAAUAAAUCUCACAAAGAUAUACAUAGAACACAUGGGUUGAAAUCAAAGUGAAUUUUCCUUAGGUAUAUAAUUGCCGCUGCUAUUGUUGUUGUUUGAAGAUGGUAGUGGGAAUUCUUCUAGCAAAGACUCUGAAGUGUAAAAUCUACCUCUAACAGUCCACAUUAUGAGAGUGACACUUUGGUGGGUGCAUUUAAUUGCAUGUCUCCUAACAUAAAUAUAACAUUUAAUUCUAACUCAUUCUAACAUGUUGGUUGUGUUUUGUAUACAGGUAUGGGAUGGUCCAGGUGAACUAAGCACACCAAAAGCAGAAAGCACAUCAGACAGGCAUUAUUAUAGCAUAGUUAAAAAAAGAAAUCAUACAAUAUAUACACAAUUCUGAUGUUCAAACUGUUUUUUUUUUCAGACCCCCUAAUUCAAUUCAAUUUUAUUCGUAUAGCACUUUUAACAAUGGACAUUGUCACAAAGCAGCUUUACAGAAAUAAAUGGAUUCACAAAAAUAUAUUGUAAACAUGUGAAUUUAUCCCUAAUGAGCGAGCCAGAGGCAAUGGUGGCAAGGAAAAACUCCCUGAGACAAUAUGAGGAAGAAACCUUGAGAGGAACCAGGCUCAAAAGGGAACCCAUCCUCAUCUGGGUGCAACGGAUAGUGCGAUUAUAAAUAAAUCCCUCCCUAUUAUUGUGUACUAUAUGGACAAAUAGUGCAAUUGUGCAACCAGUAAAUUCAUCACAGUUUUUGCAAGAAGUCCCUCUUCUUCUGAGUAAUCUCUCUCAGCCUUUUUUGGAAGUUCAUAAGUUAUGUUCAUACCUUGCAAAGGUAGUGUGUUACCACAAAAGAAAAAUGUAUUCUGUCCCUUAUUUAAGUUCAUUUACUAAGUGCAAUCAAAGUUUGCUAUGUUUCAUUUCUUCAGUAAGUGGAAGUUAACAGUGCAGUGUCAACAAUUGUUAUAUUUCUGACAAAACUAGGAAAAAGGAAAAACCAGAACAAAUAUGCAAAAACACACACAGGGCCAAUGAAAGUGCUACAUGUAAGCUUGUUGUCUGUCCAGUGUUUCCGAGAAGAAAUUACAAUUGCUUUACAAGCAGCCUACAAUUAUUUUCUGAGUCAAUGGAUGUAAAUUCCUGUUAAUCUUUUUCUUUUCACAGCAAUUACACACGUCUGUAUGAACCAAGAGUAAUCAAAAGUGACACAGAAGAGUCACACGAGAGCAGACAACAUGUUCAAGAGGAAAGCACAGAUGUAUUAACUGCUGCAGACAUUGUGUCAGAACUCUCACUGAAGAUCAUAAGAUCAUAAAUCGAGCUAAUGUUUGGGAUCGAGCAGUUCCUGGUUUUAAACGUGCCUCAUAUGACUUAUUACAUGACAUGCUUGUCAGAUUCACAGAUGACGAAGGAACAACUGAAGAGGCAGUGGACACGAGUGGUCCCAAACAAAAACAAUCCAUGCUGCGGAUCAUCGCAGUUUCUAUUGUUCAUGGUGGUCCAGAGAUGCUAUACAAUCACCUCACUGGGAGGAUUCACUUUGAUGGAACAGUUGAAGAUGUAACAGAUGAGACCAGGAAGGCAGCGUUGCUUGAACCCAGAUAUCCACUGCAGCAUCACUGGAUGAACUACACAUGGUCAUUGAUAAGUAUGCCAGUUUGCUGCAGACUGCUGGAUGUUUUGAGUACACACAAAGUGUAGAAGGCAGAGAGAACAUUGUGAAGGAUUUCAUACAGUGGUACAUAAUAUACAGAAAUCAGUACUCAAUACAGGGAUUUAGGGAUAGGCUUUCCACACUGGAUGUCAUCCAUUCCCUGGAACAGCAUCCAAUUGUAUUCAGACCCUAUAUGUGCUAUGGUGUUGAGAAACUAACACCUGAAUCAUUGGAGGCUCUCUUUAAGGCUCAGCUCAGUGAAGUAGGUAGCACCAGACGACAAGAAGAAAUCAGAAUACUUGGAUACUGGAGAGACUAUCUGCUUGACA